rnacentral:rRNA from 1 species
CCCUUAGAUGUUCUGGGCCGCACGCGCGCUACACUGAUGCAUUCAACGAGUCUAAAACCUGCUCUGAUAGGGGUGGGUAAUCUUUUGAAUGUGCAUCGUGAUUGGGAUAGAUGAUUGCAAUUUUUCAUCUUCAACGAGGAAUGCCUAGUAAACGCAAGUCAUCAGCUUGCAUUGAUUACGUCCCUGCCCUUUGUACACACCGCCCGUCGCUCCUACCGAUUGAAUGAUACGAUGAAUAUCAUGGAUUGAGGAUGCAAGUAGGUUCGCCUAUCUUCAUCUUCGAGAAGUGAAGUAAAUCUUAUCAUUUAGAGGAAGGAGAAGUCGUAACA